AGAGUUUGAUUAUGGCUCAGAUUGAACGCUGGCGGAAUGCUUUACACAUGCAAGUCGAACGGCAGCACGGGAGCUUGCUCCUGGUGGCGAGUGGCGAACGGGUGAGUAAUGCGUCGGAACGUACCGAGUAAUGGGGGAUAACGCAGCGAAAGCUGUGCUAAUACCGCAUACGCCCUGAGGGGGAAAGUGGGGGAUCGCAAGACCUCACGUUAUUCGAGCGGCCGACGUCUGAUUAGCUAGUUGGUGGGGUAAAGGCUCACCAAGGCGACGAUCAGUAGCGGGUCUGAGAGGAUGAUCCGUCACACUGGAACUGAGACACGGUCCAGACUCCUACGGGAGGCAGCAGUGGGGAAUUUUGGACAAUGGGGGCAACCCUGAUCCAGCCAUUCCGCGUGAGUGAAGAAGGCCUUCGGGUUGUAAAGCUCUUUCAGCCGGAACGAAACGGUACGCACUAAUAUUGUGUGCUAAUGACGGUACCGGCAGAAGAAGCACCGGCUAACUACGUGCCAGCAGCCGCGGUAAUACGUAGGGUGCGAGCGUUAAUCGGAAUUACUGGGCGUAAAGCGUGCGCAGGCGGAUUGUUAAGCAAGAUGUGAAAUCCCCGGGCUUAACCUGGAAUGGCAUUUUGAACUGGCAGUCUAGAGUGUGUCAGAGGGGGGUGGAAUUCCACGUGUAGCAGUGAAAUGCGUAGAUAUGUGGAGGAACACCAAUGGCGAAGGCAGCCCCCUGGGAUAACACUGACGCUCAUGUACGAAAGCGUGGGUAGCAAACAGGAUUAGAUACCCUGGUAGUCCACGCCCUAAACGAUGUCAACUGGUUGUUGGGGGGAGUGAAAUCCCUUAGUAACGAAGCUAACGCGUGAAGUUGACCGCCUGGGGAGUACGGUCGCAAGAUUAAAACUCAAAUGAAUUGACGG
rnacentral:rRNA from 1 species